UACGAAGGGGGCUAGCGUUGCUCGGAAUCACUGGGCGUAAAGCGCACGUAGGCGGAUUCUUAAGUCGGUGGUGAAAUCCCGGAGCUCAACUCCGGAACUGCCCUUGAAACUGCAGUGCUAGAAUCUUGGAGAGGCGAGUGGAAUUCCGAGUGUAGAGGUGAAAUUCGUAGAUAUUCGGAAGAACACCAGUGGCGAAGGCGACUCGCUGGACAAGUAUUGACGCGUGAGGUGGCGAAAGCGUCGGGGAGCAAACAGG
rnacentral:rRNA from 1 species